rnacentral:tRNA from 1 species
UUAACUAAAGCCAAAAUAGAGGCUUAUCAUUGUUAAUGAUAUCAUUGUUUAUAAAUCUAGUUAAA